GAUGAACGCUGGCGGCGUGCCUAAUACAUGCAAGUCGAGCGAACAGACGAGGAGCUUGCUCCUCUGACGUUAGCGGCGGACGGGUGAGUAACACGUGUAUAACCUACCUAUAAGACUGGGAUAACUUCGGGAAACCGGAGCUAAUACCGGAUAAUAUAUUGAACCGCAUGGUUCAAUAGUGAAAGACGGUUUUGCUGUCACUUAUAGAUGGAUCCGCGCCGCAUUAGCUAGUUGGUAAGGUAACGGCUUACCAAGGCAACGAUGCGUAGCCGACCUGAGAGGGUGAUCGGCCACACUGGAGCUGAGACACGGUCCAGACUCCUACGGGAGGCAGCAGUAGGGAAUCUUCCGCAGUGGGCGAAAGCCUGACGGAGCAACGCCGCGUGAGUUAUGAAGGUCUUCGGAUCGUAAAACUCUGUUAUUAGGGAAGAACAAAUGUGUAAGUAACUAUGCACGUCUUGACGGUACCUAAUCAGAAAGCCACGGCUAACUACGUG
rnacentral:rRNA from 1 species